GAUGAAGAACGCAGCGAAAUGCGAUAAGUAAUGUGAAUUGCAGAAUUCAGUGAAUCAUCGAAUCUUUGAACGCACAUUGCGCCCGCCAGUAUUCUGGCGGGCAUGCCUGUUCGAGCGUCAUUUCAACCAUCAAGCCCCCGGCUUGUGUUGGGGACCUGCGGCUGCCGCAGGCCCUGAAAACCAGUGGCGGGCUCGCUAGUCACUCCGAGCGUAGUAAUACAUCUCGCUCAGGGCGUGCUGCGGGUUCCGGCCGUUAAAAAGCCUUAUUUACCCAAGGUUGACCUCGGUUCAGGUAGGAAGACCCGCUGAACUUAAGCAUAUCAAUAAGCGGAGGA
rnacentral:misc_RNA from 1 species